GGCCGCAGAAUUUUAACUGUGCAAAGGUAGCAUAAUCAUUAGUUUUUUAAUUGAAAGCUUGUAUGAAUGGUUGGACAAGGUACCUGCUGUUUCAUUUUAAUAUUUAGAAUUUUAUUUUUGAGUAAAAAAGCUUAAAUUGUUUUGAAAGACGAGAAGACCCUAUAGAUCUUUAUAAUUUUUAUUUACUAAUUACUAAGGUUUUUUUUAUUAUUAAAUAUAAUAUUAUUUUGUUGGGGUGACAUAGAAAUUUAAUUAACUUUCUAUAUUUUAUAUACAUUUAUUUAUGAAUUUUUAUUGAUCCUUUGUUUAAGAUUGAAAAAUUAAGUUACCUUAGGGAUAACAGCGUAAUUUUCUCGGAGAGUUCAUAUCGAUGAGAGAGAUUGCGACCUCGAUGUUGGAUUAA
rnacentral:rRNA from 1 species